UACGUAGGGGGCAAACGUUGUCCGGAUUUACUGGGUGUAAAGGGUGCGCAGGCGGACUUGUAAGUCAGAGGUGAAAUCUCGGCGCUUAACGCCGAAACUGCCUUUGAUACUAUAAGUCUUGAGUUUGGUAGAGAUCCGUGGAAUUCCGAGUGUAGCACUGAAAUGUGUAGAUAUUCGGAAGAACACCAGCGGCGAAGGCAGCGGAUUGGGCCAAUACUGACGCUCAGGCACGAAAGCAUGGGGAUCAAACAGG
rnacentral:rRNA from 1 species